UACGAGGGGGGCAAAUGUUGUUCGGAAUCAUUGGGCGUAAAGAGCGUGUAGGCGGCCCGGUAAGUCCGCUGUGAAAGUCCAGGGCUCAACCCUGGGAUGCCGGUGGAUACUGUCGGGCUCGAGUCCGGAAGAGGAGUGUGGAAUUCCUGGUGUAGCGGUGAAAUGCGCAGAUAUCAGGAGGAACACCAAUGGCGAAGGCAGCACUCUGGGACGUGACUGACGCUGAGACGCGAAAGCGUGGGGAGCAAACAGG
rnacentral:rRNA from 1 species